CAUCAGUCGGCCAAUAGACCCGGAACCUGAGAGAUCGGAAUCCGGGUCCACUCCGCAGAGGCCCGAGCGGGCUCGCGAGGGAACCGGUUCUGCGGGUCUGGCCGGAGCCUGGUCUCCCUGGGACCACCAGAGUGAGUUCAGCUAACCGAAAGUCUUCAAGGGGAGGAACUGAGGACCCAGCAUCUCCUGGCAGUGUACCUGGAUGAAGUCCGAGGGGAGUGCUCUCCGAAGGACACCAGCCCAAUGGAGAUGGUCUGCAGGAAUGGCCGGAUGGCAGGUGUGAACUGUGGAGAGACGCGGCUGUGUCACCUACCGCUCAGGAGAGGGAUGGGGACAGGGCAGGAGCGAGGCACAGGGAUGUGUGGGGAAGACACGUUCAUUGAGUAAAUGUUUCAUGAGCUCCUACUGUGUGCUGGGCAUAGCCCUCACCUGGUUCAAGGACCUGAUGUUCUCAAACGGAAAACAAAUGAUCAGCAGAUAAGCAAAGCCAUGCACAGUAUCACAACAAGGAAUGACGAAUGAUUUGAAAAAAAAAAAAAA